UCCUUCUGUGGCUCAGUUGGUAGAGCAUGGCGCUUGUAACGCCAGGGUAGUGGGUUCAAUUCCCGGGACCACCCAUACGUAGAAUGUAUGCACACAUGACUGUAAGUCGCUUUGGAUAAAAGCGUCAGCUAAAUGGCAUAUAUAUUAUUAAACCUGAACUCUGGGUUGACUGACUCUGAGCUGUCAAACUCAGAGUUUUCGGUUUCAGAGCAGGUGAUAACAAUUAGUUAAAUCAAAGCUUGGUUAACUUAACCCCGAGUUAAACACGUGCAUGAGGAGCUAAAGAGCCAUCAUCAAUGGAACGCAGAUAACAUGAUUAAUCAUGGCAACAGGAGAAAAGGUCUCGAACCUCCUUCUCCCCAGUGGAGUUUGAAAUGUUAACGAACGCGUAUGCAGAAUAUGUGCAUAUAUUUAAGACAAAUAAAUAAAUGCCGUAGCAGCAGCAAAAGAACGUGAGUUGGCGUGGCAGAAAAUUGCUGACCAAGUCAAUGCGCACAAAACCUACUUGGCAGCCACUGAAGAUGAAAUAUACAAAUAUACUUCAAACAGACCAUACAAACGCUCCACACCGCGUGGCCGCGGCCACCCUAAUCUGGUGGUCCCAGCGCGUACGACCCAUGUGGAGUUCCAGGUCUCCGGUAGCCUCUGGAACUGCCGAUCUGCGGCCAACAAGGCAGAGUUCAUCUCAGCCUAUGCCUCCCUCCAGUCCCUCGACUUCUUGGCACUGACGGAAACAUGGAUCACCACAGAUAACACUGCUACUCCUACUGCUCUCUCCUCGUCCGGCCACGUGUUCUCGCACACCCCGAGAGCUUCUGGUCAGCGGGGUGGUGGCAUCGGGAUCCUCAUCUCUCCCAAGUGGUCUUUCUCUUUUCUCCCCUUACCCAUCUGUCUAUCGCCUCCUUUGAAUUCCAUGCUGUCACAGUUACCAGCCCUUUCAAGCUUAACAUCCUUAUCAUUUAUCGCCCUCCAGGUUCCCUUGGAGAGUUCAUCAAUGAGCUUGAUGCCUUGAUAAGCUCCUUUCCUGAGGACGGCUCACCUCUCACAGUUCUGGGCGACUUUAACCUCCCCACGUCUACCUUUGACUCAUUCCUCUCUGCCUCCUUCUUUCCACUCCUCUCCUCUUUUGACCUCACCCUCUCACCGUUGGUGCAGUCGUUCUAGCUAGCUACAUCCUGCCUAUCUGUUCCAGGUGUGUAAUUUCUUGGUAAAUAUGCCCAAAAGAAAAUCAGAGAUAUACAGGAGCGUGAGGCUUCAGAGUAUAUCGCUCAAGCCUGACGUCAGUUCCACGUCGAGACUAACCAGAGAACGUGCAACAUGACAGGAAGGCUACAGAUAGUCAUCUCACCUUCAGUCUAUUAACAGUAACAGGCCCUGAAAUCUCCUGCAACAAUCAUGUCAAAUGAUUGCGAUACUGCUGUGUUGUUGAUUCAUAUUUGUGCAUUUUGAAACCCUGUUGAUUUUUUUUUUUUAAAUGUAUAGUGUUGUCAAUGCUCCCUACCUUAAUUAAGAGAAGCCAUUUGACAUAAUCUGAACUCGCAGCACUGCUGAAGAGCAUGUACGUACGUGGUCAAGACUUGAUAGCUCAGCAAAAUUAUUAGUUUAUUAAUGACAUCACCUGUUUCUCUUCUAGACCAGCAUAUAAACUUUAAAUAUUGUCAGGACCUGAAGAUUAUCAGUGUUAUUAUUCUUCAACAUGAAUUCAUUUGAAUCAAUAACUAAAGUGAUUUAAUCUGUCAUAUGGUAAUCACCCCCAGGUUUCACCCGAAGUGUCGUGGCUGUGUACAGUGUGUUGGUAUGUUGAUUGUUUUACACCAUGUUCAGCUCAAUAUCAUUGGUGGCUACUUAUACAUGGACAAUUCUGUCAGCAAGAAUUGAAUGGUAAGCCUUUAAGCUUUAAUGUCUUGUACCCUAUGGGGCAGCUUCAAUUCCUAGUUACAUAUUAAGCCUACAUUCAGCACCUCCCAUGAACUGCAGAAAUUAAGGAGUGGACAUUUUACUGGUAGACCUGGACCUCUUGGCCUUCUCUAUAUGUCUGCAUGACACUGGACAUCACAGAUGGAGGAAGAAAUGCACUUAUUCUCUGUACCAAGUCACAAAACUCAAGAGGAUCGGGUCCUUGGAGAGUUACUGUUCCCUGUCCUUGGUGGGAGAACUGUGUUCCAUUGUGGACUGUAGGGUUCUAAACUGCUGCCUUCUUUACCUGGUACUUCAAGGUCAAAGACCCACUGCAUCUUCUGUCGUUCUGCCCUUAACCCACUCUUAACUGCCUUGCUCAGCCAUCAUUGUAAAUAAGAAUUUGUUCUUAACUGACUUGCCUAGUUAAAGGUUCAAUCUUAAGAACCUGAGUUUUUGUCCUUUACUGAUCUGUUCCCCCAAGGCUUAAAAAGUCAGCCAGAGCCCACCAUGAAUCAGGUCAUUUUCCUGUGUCAUUAUGAAGAAAAUCCUGAAAGCCUUAUCCCACUUUACAUAGCUGUUGCUUUGGUACAUUAAAGCAGAAAUCUGCCAAAGGAGCCACUGACUGCCCCAGGAGCAUUUUAUUUGAGGAAAUGAGCACCCAGCAUUGUGGUGUAAAAAAAAAUCAACGUACAUACUCUGCUGUUCUAUCGCUUGUGCAAUGAUGUCCGAGGGAUUUUGUUGGUGUUUGAAGUCUUUGUUGUUAUGUGUUUCACCAAUUAGGUGCCUUUUUGAGUAGUGUAACCUUACGAGAAACUUAGAGAAAAAAAGCCCCAGUUUUACAGUAUUUCACCAAAUUUUAACAUUCUUCAAUAAAGAGCACACAUUCUUAAUUAUUUUACAACAUCAACAGAUAAAAACUAUAGCAAGUGCCAAACAAAGUGCCUUCAUCUUAAAUCAGCCAUAAAUCUCCUUGUGGCGGGGUAAUGGAAGCUUGUGUGCAGCAGGAAAGGGCAAUUAAAUUCAAGCGUACAAUAUUUCUAGCCUGUAUCUAUAGCUAACGGGGGUUACAUGUUGUGCUUGACCCUUGCUGUUUUCCACCACAAAACACCAGGUAUGAUUUAUUUUCUUGUAUUUUUUUUAUUUAAUUACAAAUAACUUAAUCCUAUAUCAGCAUUUUGACAUGUCCAUCAUUGUCUCACGUCAGAUCAGUGCAGAUGGCUGUCGCACUGACCUGAGACAAAGGGAGAUGUUACAAUGCUGAAUUUUGGCAUGCCUAUUAUUUUAAAAAAUGCAAUAUUUAUGCACAAUUUCUACUUAAAAUAUCAAAGGGCACUUCUAUCCUUUGACCAAUAUCGCAAAUGAACUCGGCAUUUUCACUGCUAUGGAUCGCAGCUUUAAGCAUAAAGUGGACCAAGUGUCAGUUUGAGUCUAAACAGAUUAGUCUUAGUUUUUCCAUUCUAUUACUGUUGUUGAGGAAUCAGUGUACAAAACAUUAGGAACAUCUUGUCUUUCCAUAAAACUGCCCAGGUGAACCCAGGUGAAAGCUAUGAUCCCAUAUUGAUGUCACUGGGUAAAUCCACUUCAAUCAGUGUAGAUGAAUUUGACAAGACGGGUUAAAGAAUGAUUUUUAAGAUAUCCAGUGCUGUGCCAUCUAGACUGCAAUUCCCCAUUCAACCUCUAGGUUUACUUUCUGUUCAACAAUGUUCAGUACUUCAAGGCACUAUUGACUUCAUCUACUUUGUCUCUGUCUUUGAAAUGUCAAUGUUUUUUCUUAUUAAAUCAUGGAAAUUGGAAAUGUUCUCAUAUUUCUGUUAGGGAAUGGAGGUGGGCCUUAAAGUUAACCUUGAAGUUUGUUUGGGUACUUUAAGUGAGAAUGUAGGCCUGUCUCUUUCCUCUUUGUAACAUAACAUUCUGAAUAACAACUGAAAAUGUAAGUACUGUAGCAUUGACAUUAACAAUUAUAAAAUAUCACGAUUUAAUAUAUUCAGUGUCUCUUUUGAUUUGUGUUUCCUAAUAUAAAUGUAGGUAACUAUUUUAUGGACCACUUUGCUUCAGGGUCAUACUGUCGUUUCUUUAGAAGUUCCUCUGCUCAGCAGCAGAGGGCAGCACAUGACAAUAAGGACUAACACUAUACUGGACUCCCAUUGCGUCAAUACUGCCCCUGCCAAUUAACAUGUAUGGUGGAUCAAGUAGGCUACAUCUCUAUUAAAUGCUUUUGGGAUAAACACA